rnacentral:rRNA from 1 species
GACGAACGCUGGCGGCGUGCCUAAUACAUGCAAGUCGAACGCAUUUUCUUUCACCGUAGCUUGCUACACCGAAAGAAAAUGAGUGGCGAACGGGUGAGUAACACGUGGGUAACCUGCCCAUCAGCGGGGGAUAACACUUGGAAACAGGUGCUAAUACCGCAUAAUUCCAUUUACCGCAUGGUAGAUGGAUGAAAGGCGCUUUUGCGUCACUGAUGGAUGGACCCGCGGUGCAUUAGCUAGUUGGUGGGGUAACGGCCUACCAAGGCUGCGAUGCAUAGCCGACCUGUGAGGGUGAUCGGCCACACUGGGACUGAGACACGGCCCAGACUCCUACGGGAGGCAGCAGUAGGGAAUCUUCGGCAAUGGACACAAGUCUGACCGAGCAACGCCGCGUGAGUGAAGAAGGUUUUCGGAUCGUAAAACUCUGUUGUUAGAGAAGAACAAGGAUGAGAGUGGAAAGUUCAUCCCUUGACGGUAUCUAACCAGAAAGCCACGGCUAACUACGUG